AGGACGAACGCUGGCGGCGUGCUUAACACAUGCAAGUCGAGCGGAAAGGCCCUUCGGGGUACUCGAGCGGCGAACGGGUGAGUAACACGUGGGCAACCUGCCCUUAGCUCUGGGAUAGCUCCGGGAAACCGGAAUUAAUACCGGAUAUGACCUAGGCCGACAUCGGCCGUGGUGGAAAGUUUUUCGGCUAGGGAUGGACUUGCGGCCUAUCAGCUAGUUGGCGGGGUAAUGGCCCACCAAGACUGUGAUCUGUA
rnacentral:rRNA from 1 species